AGAGUUUGAUCCUGGCUCAGGACGAACGCUGGCGGCGUGCCUAACACAUGCAAGUCGAACGGAGCACUUUAUUUGAUUUCCUUCGGGACUGAUUAUUUUGUGACUGAGUGGCGGACGGGUGAGUAACGCGUGGGUAACCUGCCUUGUACAGGGGGAUAACAGUUGGAAACGGCUGCUAAUACCGCAUAAGCGCACAGCAUCGCAUGAUGCAGUGUGAAAAACUCCGAUGGUAUGAGAUGGACCCGCGUCUGAUUAGGUAGUUGGUGGGGUAACGGCCUACCAAGCCGACGAUCAGUAGCCGACCUGAGAGGGUGACCGGCCACAUUGGGACUGAGACACGGCCCAAACUCCUACGGGAGGCAGCAGUGGGGAAUAUUGCACAAUGGGGGAAACCCUGAUGCAGCGACGCCGCGUGAGCGAUGAAGUAUUUCGGUAUGUAAAGCUCUAUCAGCAGGGAAGAAAAUGACGGUACCUGACUAAGAAGCACCGGCUAAAUACGUGCCAGCAGCCGCGGUAAUACGUAUGGUGCAAGCGUUAUCCGGAUUUACUGGGUGUAAAGGGAGCGUAGACGGAGUGGCAAGUCUGAUGUGAAAACCCGGGGCUCAACCCCGGGACUGCAUUGGAAACUGUCAAUCUAGAGUACCGGAGAGGUAAGCGGAAUUCCUAGUGUAGCGGUGAAAUGCGUAGAUAUUAGGAGGAACACCAGUGGCGAAGGCGGCUUACUGGACGGUAACUGACGUUGAGGCUCGAAAGCGUGGGGAGCAAACAGGAUUAGAUACCCUGGUAGUCCACGCCGUAAACGAUGACUACUAGGUGUUGGGGCACCAAAGUUGUUCGGUGC
rnacentral:rRNA from 1 species